ACGCCGGAGUCUCGCGAGAUCUCGCGUGCCCUCGCGGGGGCCGUGACUACCCCGCAGCGAUGGCGGCGCGGACGGUUCGUGAGGGCGCAGCGGCUCCGGCCCGCGGGAACAGCCCCCGGACCGACACGACGGGGGGUUCGCGACGGAAAACGGGGCUCUGCAGCCUUCACAGAAUGGCGGAAUGGUUGGGGUUGGAAAGGCAUUCUGGAGAUUACACAGUCAGAGGCAGGGUCACCUGGAGCAGGUGACACAGGAGCACGCCCGGACUGACCAGGCCCAGCUCCCGCGGUGUCUCCUCAUCCCAGAGAUGCUCCAGACCCCAAAUCAUCCCUGCGGCCUCCACUGGACCCUCCCCAGCAGCUCCUUAUCCUUCUUGUCCUGAGGAGCCCAGAACUGGACAGAGACACUGCUGUGAGAGUUCUCUCCCCACACCUCAGUCACCAGUGUCCAGGACAGCAAACUGGUGUGACUGGUGCAGGUCACACGAAUGUGACCUGCUGAAAGAUGUGGGAGUAAAGUUACACCUCGCUGAGGUCAAUACAAAUUUACCCACAGCCUUGGGUUUUAUCCCAAAGUAACUCCUAUGCCUUUCAUCUUCAAUAAGGAUAGUUUGCUUUAAAUAAAAAAUUAUUAAUAAUAAUUAAUAAAUAAAAUUAAUUGCUACUCAAAGCAUCGCAGCUGCUUCCUGCUUCAGCAGCAGCCCUGUGAGAGACACGUGAGAGACACGUGGGUUUAUGGUUGUGUUUUUGGGAGAUAAAUUGUUUAUGGGACUGGGGAAUAAAACCCAAAGAACAUUCUUGUAUUUUAUCUGCUUAGACCUGCCUUGAUCUGUGCUUUGCACGGCCAAACCUGGAGGAGUUCUGGGCUCAGCUGCUCCAGCACGGUGGAUUGAGGGGAAGGAGGACUGGGAUGGGGGUCAAGGUGGUGUCAGGAAUUCAGUUGUCAGCUAAACUUGGAAUUGCUUUGUGGUUUUGUUGGGAAAGGCAAGUUCCAGGCGGCCGGGAGGGAGGAGGACACUAGGUGGAGCUCUGUGCUCUCUGCUGGGGGAUGAGGAUGAAGAUGAGGGGUGAGAGCUGCCGCCCCGCAGGAGUUUUGGGGUCGGGACUUACCCAGCGUUGCAAAAUUAAACAUUUUACCAGCGUAUUUGCAUCUCUUAAAGUGCCAGCUGUGAGAGUGAAGGACCCGACCUGCUGAAGGUACUCCAGAAGACUUUUAGGAGCAAAAAAAAAACCCCACCACUGAUUCUUGCAAGACCAGCUCUUAACUCUGACCAUCGAAAAACUUGUAGUGAUAUUUUUUUCUCUGCCCUGCGGCCCCAAUGUCCUCAUUGUCACUGCUGAACCAAAGCACAGAGCAAGGGGCUGGAAAUGUUGCUUGUUCCUCCCAGGGAGAAAGGCACUGGGGCCACGAGUGCCCAAAUCUUGUUGAUUUGCAGAGUUCCAUGGAUAAUCUCCAGCGAGUCUUGUGUGGAUCACAAAGUGUUGCACUCACACUGCCUGUUCUCUCCA